UACGAAGGGGGCUAGCGUUGCUCGGAAUCACUGGGCGUAAAGGGCGCGUAGGCGGCGUUUUUAAGUCGGGGGUGAAAGCCUGUGGCUCAACCACAGAAUGGCCUCGAUACUGGGACGCUUGAGUAUGGUAGAGGUUGGUGGAACUGCGAGUGUAGAGGUGAAAUUCGUAGAUAUUGGGAAGAACACCGGUGGCGAAGGCGGGUCUCUGGGCCUGUACUGACGCUGAGGAGCGAAAGCGUGGGGAGCGAACAGG
rnacentral:rRNA from 1 species